UCCGUGGGACUCUCCGGGCAAGAAUACGGGAGUGGUGGCCAUUCCCUCCUCCCGAGGAUCCUUCCGACCCGCGACGGAACCCGAGUCACCGGCACCGCAGCUGGAUUCUUUACCUCCGAGCCACCAGGGAAGCCCUUUCUUCCUCUAUUGGGAUAUUGAAAUGGAGUCUUCCCAACCCAGGGAUUGAACCUGCAUCUCCCGCACCGGCAGCUGGGUUCUUUAUCACUGAGCCAUCUGGGACGUCGCUACUAACAGUCUCUUUUGGAACCACAUGCUGUAACUUCAGUGGCCAUUCACCAAGUGGCCUUUCAGGGCCUCCAAAGUGCAAAGGACUGGGCUCUGCCGUGCUGGUAAUCAGCCAGGAGACAGGCUAUGAAUUGAUUACAGUUAAUAAAAACCAUGACAAUUCAAAAUUAUUUCAAUAUGGAAAAUGUCAUGAUAGUAAGACAGCAAAAAAAAAAAAAAAAAAA